GCCGAGCUCAGUUGCGCGAGCUUGUGACCUAAGUUGGGGCAUCAAGAUGGCUUGGACACUGGUUGAGUCCAUUCGGUAGGGUCAGGGGAAUGUGUGAUUUGCCGACUUGCCCGUUCCAAGUUGGGAGUUGAAUCGUACGGUCCUAGUGAAAGCUUGGACUGUGUGGUUCUUAGAGGGGAGGGUACAGCGUCAGGCUGGUUUCACAGAGCAGCGAAGACCUCCCGCUCUUGGCAGUGGAAGGAUAACGAGUUGGUGCACCCUUGAUCCCGUAACACCGUAUGGGCUGAGCUCGGUUGGACAACCAUCUUU
rnacentral:SRP_RNA from 1 species